AGUUCGAUCCUGGCUCAGAUUGAACGCUGGCGGGAUGCUUGCAUGCAAGUCGAACGGCGCUGGACUUCGUUGGUGGCGAGUGGCGAACAGGUGAGUAAUGUAUCCAGAACGUGCCACUCGUGGCGGGGGAUAACUACGCGAAAGCGUAGCUAAUACCGCAUACGCCCUUCGAAGGAAAGCGGGGGACCUUCGGGCCUCGCACUAUUAAGAGCGGCCGAUAUCGGAUUAGCUAGUUGGUGGGGUAACGGCUCGCAGGCGGCGAAUCAGCGUAGCUACGGUUUAGAGAAGGGACGACCAGCCACACUGGGACUGAGACACGGCCCAGACUCCUACAAGGGAGAGCAGCGGUGAAAUUUUGGACAAUGAGGAAGCCCACAGUCCAGCCAUCCCGGUGUGCGAUGAAGGCCUUCGGGUUGUAAAGCACUUUUGGCAGAAAGAAACGGCACGGGAUAAUACGACAUGCAACUGGCGGUACACCUGCGGAAUAAGCGCAACGCUUACGAGCACCAGCAGCCGCCUCGGUAAUACGUAGGGUGCAAGCGUUAAUCAGAAUUUACUGGGCGUAAAGCGUGCGAGCGGUUCGGAAGAAAGUGUGAAAAUCCGGAAGCAACUUUGGAACUGUUUUCUUCACCGAGCUAGAGUGGAAGUGGAAUUCCGCCGAUGUGGCAGUGAAAUGCGUAGAAUAUGGAAGAACCACCCGAUGGCAGAGAGCAGCCUCCUGGGAUAUUUCACUGACGCUCGUGCACAGCGUGGGGAGCAAACAGGAUUAGAUGCCUGGUAGUCCGCUCCUAAACGAUGUCGACUAGCUGUUGAGGCCUUCCGGGCCUUGGUGGCUGGCGCUAACGCGUGAAGUUGACCGCCUGGGGAGUACGGUCGCAAGAUUAAAACUCAAAGGAAUUGACGGGGACCCGCGGCGGUGGAUGAUGUGGAUUAAUUCGAUGCAACGCGAAAAACCGCACUACCCCGCUGAGCGUGCAAAGAUCCCGAAGAGAUUUGGGAGUGCUCGCAAGAGAACCGGAACACAGGUGCUGCAUGGCUGUCGUCCUUCAUGUCGUGAGAUGUUGGGUUAAGUCCCCGCAACAGGCACAACCGUAUCGACAGUUGUACGAAAGGGCACUCUAUUGAGACUGCCAGUGAUAAACGGGAAGGUGGGGAUGACGUCAAGUCCUCAUGGCCCCUUAUGGGUAAGCUUACUGCGUGUACAAUGGUCGGGUUGGAGGUCCUUCAACGCGAGGAGCCAAUCCCAGAAACCCGAUCGAAGUCUGAUUUCGCAGUCUACAACUCGACUGCGUGAAGUCGGAAUCGCUAGUAAUCGCGGAUCAGCAUGUCGCAGUGAAUACGUUCCCGGUCUUGUACACCGCCCGUCACACCAUGAAUUGGUUUACCAGAAGUAGUUAGCCUAACCGUAAGGAGGGCGAUUACCACGGUAGGAUUCAUGACUGGGGUGAAGUCGUAACAAGGUAA
rnacentral:rRNA from 1 species